CAGCAGCCGCGGUAAUACGAGGGGGGCAAGCGUUGUUCGGAAUUAUUGGGCGUAAAGGGUGCGUAGGCGGCUUGACAAGUCUUGUGUGAAAUCUAUGGGCUCAACCCAUAGUCUGCACGGGAAACUGUCGGGCUUGAGAAUGGGAGAGGUGAGUGGAAUUUCCGGUGUAGCGGUGAAAUGCGUAGAUAUCGGAAGGAACACCUGUGGCGAAAGCGGCUCACUGGACCAUUUCUGACGCUGAUGCACGAAAGCUAGGGGAGCAAACAGGAUUAGAUACCCGAGUAGUCCCUGUCUCUUAUAA
rnacentral:rRNA from 1 species